AGAGCUUGAUCCUGGCUCAGGACGAACGCUGGCGGCGUGCCUAAUACAUGCAAGUAGAACGCUGAAGAGAGGAGCUUGCUCUUCUUGGAUGAGUUGCGAACGGGUGAGUAACGCGUAGGUAACCUGCCUUGUAGCGGGGGAUAACUAUUGGAAACGAUAGCUAAUACCGCAUAACAAUGGAUGACACAUGUCAUUUAUUUGAAAGGGGCAAUUGCUCCACUACAAGAUGGACCUGCGUUGUAUUAGCUAGUAGGUGAGGUAAUGGCUCACCUAGGCGACGAUACAUAGCCGACCUGAGAGGGUGAUCGGCCACACUGGGACUGAGACACGGCCCAGACUCCUACGGGAGGCAGCAGUAGGGAAUCUUCGGCAAUGGGGGCAACCCUGACCGAGCAACGCCGCGUGAGUGAAGAAGGUUUUCGGAUCGUAAAGCUCUGUUGUAAGUCAAGAACGGGUGUGAGAGUGGAAAGUUCACACUGUGACGGUAGCUUACCAGAAAGGGACGGCUAACUACGUGCCAGCAGCCGCGGUAAUACGUAGGUCCCGAGCGUUGUCCGGAUUUAUUGGGCGUAAAGCGAGCGCAGGCGGUUUGAUAAGUCUGAAGUUAAAGGCUGUGGCUCAACCAUAGUUCGCUUUGGAAACUGUCAAACUUGAGUGCAGAAGGGGAGAGUGGAAUUCCAUGUGUAGCGGUGAAAUGCGUAGAUAUAUGGAGGAACACCGGUGGCGAAAGCGGCUCUCUGGUCUGUAACUGACGCUGAGGCUCGAAAGCGUGGGGAGCGAACAGGAUUAGAUACCCUGGUAGUCCACGCCGUAAACGAUGAGUGCUAGGUGUUGGAUCCUUUCCGGGAUUCAGUGCCGCAGCUAACGCAUUAAGCACUCCGCCUGGGGAGUACGACCGCAAGGUUGAAACUCAAAGGAAUUGACGGGGGCCCGCACAAGCGGUGGAGCAUGUGGUUUAAUUCGAAGCAACGCGAAGAACCUUACCAGGUCUUGACAUCCCGAUGCUAUUUCUAGAGAUAGAAAGUUACUUCGGUACAUCGGUGACAGGUGGUGCAUGGUUGUCGUCAGCUCGUGUCGUGAGAUGUUGGGUUAAGUCCCGCAACGAGCGCAACCCCUAUUGUUAGUUGCCAUCAUUCAGUUGGGCACUCUAGCGAGACUGCCGGUAAUAAACCGGAGGAAGGUGGGGAUGACGUCAAAUCAUCAUGCCCCUUAUGACCUGGGCUACACACGUGCUACAAUGGUUGGUACAACGAGUUGCGAGUCGGUGACGGCGAGCUAAUCUCUUAAAGCCAAUCUCAGUUCGGAUUGUAGGCUGCAACUCGCCUACAUGAAGUCGGAAUCGCUAGUAAUCGCGGAUCAGCACGCCGCGGUGAAUACGUUCCCGGGCCUUGUACACACCGCCCGUCACACCACGAGAGUUUGUAACACCCGAAGUCGGUGAGGUAACCUUUUGGAGCCAGCCGCCUAAGGUGGGACAGAUGAUUGGGGUGAAGUCGUAACAAGGUA
rnacentral:rRNA from 1 species